GGGAAAGGAAAAGUCCAUCACUCCUUCCUAGUAAUCCUAGAAUGCCCAGCCCCAUUGAUGGGCAGAAAUCUGCUCACCAAGCUCUGGGCCAAAAUAACUUUUAACCCUGAAGGCCCCCAAAUGGAAUUUCUAAAUCCUUCAGUAAAAACUCCUAUAGUCACGGCUUUAACUAUGUCAGUAGAAGAUGAACAUCAACUCUUCACACCCCCCAAGACUGAUCAAACAGGCAAGCUACCCCAGAAAUGGAUAACAGAUUACCCAGAUGCCUGGGCAGAAACUGCUGGGUUAGGCCUAGCCUUGAAACAACCUCCAAUAAUAGUG
rnacentral:lncRNA from 1 species